CCUACGGGUGGCAGCAGUGAGGAAUAUUGGUCAAUGGACGAGAGUCUGAACCAGCCAAGUAGCGUGAAGGAUGACUGUCCUAUGGGUUGUAAACUUCUUUUAUAUGGGAAUAAAACAGGGUAUGCAUACCCUCUUGCAUGUACUUUAUGAAUAAGGAUCGGCUAACUCCGUGCCAGCAGCCGCGGUAAUACGGAGGAUCCGAGCGUUAUCCGGAUUUAUUGGGUUUAAAGGGAGCGUAGGGGGGGUGUUAAGUCAGAUGUGAAAAUUUGCGGCUCAACCGUCAAAUUGCAAUUGAUACUGGCAGUCUUGAGUACAGUAGAGGUAGGCGGAAUUCGUGGUGUAGCGGUGAAAUGCUUAGAUAUCACGAAGAACCCCGAUUGCGAAGGCAGCUUACUGGACUGUAACUGACAUUGAUGCUCGAAAGUGUGGGUAUCAAACAGGAUUAGAUACCCGUGUAGUC
rnacentral:rRNA from 1 species